rnacentral:misc_RNA from 1 species
GAACAACUUGAGCAAGAAAAGAGCAAGCGUCUCUUCAUUGCACGCAGUAUUUCAGAUUCGCAAGUAAAUCUUCGUCUUUGAGUAGACGCCGCGUAGUAUCACCGUUUCUCGUGUGGCAACUUUCUGGUGAAGGUUAGGGGGCACGUCGGGUAGGCGUCAGACGAGUGCACCGAGCGAGGGACAAGCAGGAAGAGGCGCGCCUGCGAUUGCGGCAGGCGUGUACUCUGUGUGUGUGUUUGUGUGGCUGCUGUGUGGUUUAUCGGCGCUGCUGUUUUGCGUCUCUUUUUGCUUUGCUUUGUUUCUCUAUUUUACGGCAUUUGUUUUUCUCUUGUUGAACGUCGUCUACGUGCCUUUACGCUGUUUGCUGCCUCUCGGUGUCUCUUGGUACGCCGUUGCCUCUUGUUCGACUCGCCGUGCUUGAUUCUGUUGCCGUGUACGCGCUUCCCCUUUUCUGCUCAGUCCCGCCUCGUUUUCAGGCCCACGCGUUUUGUGUGCUUGGGUCGGGCACAGCUCACACACACACACACACACUCCCCGUAGCGGCAUCUUCACCGACGGCCAUCAUUUUCGUGCUCUUUUCCUUGUGUGGAGUUUUUCGGUUCUUUCUCCCUGCAUUGCCGGCACUCCUACAUAUAUCAUUUCACGAGUUCAUUCGCGUGUGUGUGCGCGUGUGCUCUUGCGCCUCUCAUGCGCGUGAAACAGAGAUAAAGGGACACGACCGACAAACCGGAAAGAAAAGGGAGACUUGUCGUAGAAGCGGUGGUGGCUUUUCUUCUGCCGCGAUAUUAGUGAAGUGGAGGCGUUGCGCGCGGUGAUUGCAGCCUCCUGGCUCACCGAGAGAGACGCACACACAGACAAAGGCCAUCUCGCUCAUUCGCCCUCGCUCUCGCUCUCUCGUGUUGUAACUGUUUCUCGACACGUCUUUUUUUUUUUGUUUAUGGCGACCCUUCCCUUUGCACAUUUUCUCUUCCCCCCCGCUCGCUCUCUCACUCGCUUACUGGUCUAUUCCCGCGGACGCGCCAGCCGACUCUCUCCCUCCCCCCUUUGCUCGCGUGUGUCUACGUGCUUUGGCACGAGCCGGGCUCUCGCUCCGUGCACUGCACUACUGCUGCUCUCUGCGUCCGUCUUGCGCACCUGUGAGUGCUCCGCUUGUCUCGCUUCUUGUGCCCCCUUUCUUUCCACUGUCUCUGCGUGUGUGUGACGAAGGGCUGUCGUAGAAGGAAAGUGCGACUCGUGUCUCGUCUUCUCUUUCCCGUCCGUUUCCUGUAUUGCCCCCCCCCCCCCCCCGGCCGACUCUCUUUCGACCUCCUCCGGUAUUCCCCCCGCUACGUUUUUGUGCUUUUUUUGCGUGUUCUCUGUGCCUGCGUGUGCGCGUGUGCUCCUUUGCGCUAAAGAGCUCGACUCACCUCGCAUUGUACUCGCUCCCCCCUCCUGCCCCUUUUUGUUUGUUUUCUUUCACGGUGUUUCCUCCCUUCUCUCGUUGUUUUCUCUAGUUUGUGAGGGAGUGGGGCACAGGUGUACGCACAAGAGGCGUGCGGUUGCUGCUCUUUGUCUUUUUCUCGUUCCGAUCGCACUCCCUUCCCCACCACUCUCUUGCUCUCCUCCUUUCGGCUACUGCUUUCUCCCUGGUCGUUAACACAGAAAAGAACGGAGGCUCAACCGCUUGACCGGCGCAAACCGUAUUCACACAUCGAGGCUCCUCAGCUGCACACGCACGACAAAAAAAAGGUCGAAGCAGCAGACUCAUCAGAGCUAGCACACACAUUCGCGUAUUAACUCGCCGCUCAUUGUUCAACACGCUCGCGGGUGGCAGUGACGCUAGCCGGUGGUGUCGAAGCUUUCCGCUUUACUCGAAUCGUACGCGCAUGUCUUUGUGCCUGUGUGGGGAGCGGGUCUCUUCGUUGGUCUUUCAAUUGCGUCAGGUGCUUUUCUUUUUGUUGUUGUGGCGAGCGACGAGACGCUUUACUAUCUGUAGGCCCACAAACCUGCGCCCUCCCUCCCCCCUUCGACCAGAGUAGCGCAACCACGCUUUCUCUCUCUUUGCUUGAUUCUUUUUGCUCUCCGCUGGCCCAUUUGCGACGGCUGACGUUAUGACGUUAAACCAAUUCAAGUCAUGGCCAUCCAAAUACCCUAAAAGCGCGCUGGAGGACACCGCUCCCGUGAGGCUUCGCGCAAACUCGUCGACAGCGGCCUCCGCUUCGCCGGCGACUGCACCGGCAACCAGCACAAUGCCCACGAGUGUGUUGUACUCGGUGCUGCUGCGCGCUAGUGUGUCACGCAAUGCUGUAUCCAAGAACCCGGCUGAGCGUUCACCCCACUCACACACUGUUUAUGACAUCGAUAGCACGGUGAGGGAGGCAGUCCGCGCCGAGGUGGAGAGGCUGUUUCCGUAUCGCGGCGCUUUUGCCGAGCCCCCCGGCGGAGCGGAUGUAGACAGGGCGACACCGGCACAGCGCUUCUUCGGGCUCGCUCCUAAGGCCGAGGAAGGAGAGCGGAGUGGGUGCCGGAGCGCUUGCGUAGCGCGUGUGAAUGUGUAUCGCCACAUUUCUGAACCCGAUACCCACAAUCCACGCGCACCUGUGCCUUCGACGACCACUGCAGUGGCUGCCACCGAAACACCCUCAUCAUCGGCAGCGAGGCAGACCUCGACGUCUGUAUUGCAAAGGCUCUCCGGUGGACCAAGGGUGGUUAUCAAGAGCCUGAAGCGCAAGAAAACGCUUGCUGUCAUGGGGGCAACUCGUGUGCCUGCCCCCUCUAUGCCGGAGUCCGCUGAAGCACCGAAGCAGCUUUUCGCCCCCUUGCUUGCGGAGAACAGCAUCGGCGUUGGUGGUGUCAUGAGAGACCAGGAGGCGAGCUCAUGCACAUCACCAAGCGCCGUCGCGGAUAAUUCUCACCGCUUCACUGUGGUUUCGGCGACGGAGCUGCCGGACAUGCAGAGGCACCUCGAACGGCUCUUCGACGACUUUGCCGCCGCGGUAGAGCAGUGCCGCGCUGCGUUGGACCAGCAGCAGCUGCAAAGCAGCUCGCCAGCUGCGUGGCAGACAACGAAGAAAAAGAGAGGCGUCGCUUCCGAGGAGCCGUCAGUGUCGUUGCUGGGCGAAGAGGCUUCCGCUUCCCAGCAUCCGCAACAACCACCACACUGCACUAACUCCAACCACCGACCCGGCAACUCAACCGUUCUAUCCACUGACGUCUUGCCUCGCCACAACAGCCAUCACCCCGUAUCUGACUUCCUCUCUCCCGACCGCAUUCCAGAUGAAUGGAGACACGACCAUGGCACCGUGGCCACAGCAAACGGCAGCUGCUGCACGUCUUAUGCGCAAAGUGCCAGCGGCGAAUCAGUGCGGAUGGCGGAUGGGUCUGUUCCGGAGACAACGCCGUCUCUGGAAGCAGAAGACUUUUCCACCGGCAUCGUUAUGAUUGCCCACACAAUCGCAGAGCACCUGCACGCUAUUCUGCACCCCAACAUAACUUUAGCCGCUCUAGAGGAGGAGGCGGCGGCGCUUCGCGGUCAGGGCCAUGGCGGCAGCAGCGGUGCCGGUGGGCCGGCUGCCCUAAACGCUGUGAUGGCGACAUGUAGACGGAGUCACACCGGCGCAGAGGGAGAGGACAGAAAACCGAUGAGCCCGGCGUCUUUUUCCUCCCCGUCUCCUUUACCAGAUUUGCGUUCCAGCGAAGGUCUUCAGUCGCCGUCAGGGGCCAGCUCGGCACCGCUCGGACCGCGGGCGCUUCGUCAGCUGGUGCACAGUCUUUUUUGGUCCCGUAUCACUGCGUUUCUGAGCAGCGUUUCUCUCAAGACGCCCGGCAAAGACUGCCCGAUGUGGCUGUCGACGGCCGCCGUGGAGCAGCGUGAGGCGUGUUCGUAUGUGCAACUGCCGUUCUGGAUUUGGCUGUACGCCGCGUGCGGGCUGGCAACCGACGUGAUCCGCGCGCAGCAAGAGGCGCAGAGGGAUUUUACGAUUCCGGGGCAAGCCACGGGACCUCGCAAGACACUGACAUCGUCGUCUGCGACAGCGAGCGCACCACCGCCACCGUCACUGUCACAGCUCUUGCCAACGGUCGAGACGUUGGCGCGCCAGCUGCAGCGGCGGCAGUACGAGCGCGUCGAUUCCACUGCUGGAACUUUGCUCACGGCCAACACGUUUCUCUCUUUCACUGGCGUGCAGAUGACAGACAAGGCCGUGAUGAAGCGCUUGUUCCCUCUGCAGAGCGGUGUGAUUGCCAGCGAUGCCCUGGGGUUUGCCACACUGUCGCCCCACUCAGCACAAUGCAUCACUCACGAGGCAAGCGUGGCCACGGAGUCCUCGUCUGGGAGUCUAACGACAGGCGCCUUCGACUCUGCUGCUGUCCCCACCCUCAUCAGCAUCAACACAUCGUCGGACAGGCUGAUCUCGGCGGAGCAUACCAUGUCGGCGUUCGCUGGCGCAGGGCCUAACGCAAUAGACCGAAGCAGCAGUAGCGUUGAAGGUGCACCAAUUAGUCCGUCACGCCGAGGUCAGGCUGCCACCAGCGUUGUUCUUGGGGACGCCGGCAACACGGCCGCGUAUGCGACUGAGGAGGCACCGCAGGUGCACAGCGGCAGCUAUUCUUGCCCUUCAACAGUGGAACUGUACUUGCAGUGGCUGGAGAGCGCUGAUGCGGCGCGUUUAGCAGCAUGCUCGUCACGGAGUGAAGCGGAACGUUUCCCCGAUCGUGCUGACACGGAAGCUGAUGCAGCUGGUGAGGUCGCUGCCUCCUCGCCCACCUCGCGGCCGUAUCGGCCAGGCACCAUCGCCUGCAUGCAACCCCAUGUAUCGUCGUAUGCGGAGGACGGUCAAGCCAGCAAUGGCGAUGGGAACAUUGCGAGAGGGAACAGCAGUAGUGGGAAAGACAGGAGCAGCAGCGACAGCUCGUUCAGCUACGCGACGGUGCAGCGGCCAAGCGAGCCCUUCCGGGUGGCAGCUGUGAUGCCGUCAGCCGGGCUGGCCCCGUGCCUGGGGCGAGUCGAAAAGGAGCUGCACCAGGCUCGCUCUGCCGUGCAGUUUGCUCGCAAGGUGGGCACUCUGUACGCAACGCAGGACAUGAAAACACUGCUGCAGCUGCUUCCCGCCGUGGCCAGGGAGGAGCCCGUGUCACCCAACGCAAAUCUCGUUUCUGCACGCGCGGACGGCGGGGCUGUGGAGAGCUUUGGAGGCGCGUUCCCUCCUCGCGGCGGCACGGACAGCACCGGGACCCCUGCGGCGCCGGCAACACCGGCCGAAGGUGUGCAUUCACAGUACACGUGGACAGGCACCCCGACGACUAGCAAUCCGAUGACAGGCAGCUUACCUCCCCUCGUGACACCACCUCAGGUUGCAGCGGAUCGAAUGCCGGGCAACCACGCCCUCUUCUUUCGCCGUGCCAACGCCAGCUCGACACCUCCGGCGCUGUUUCCCUCUGUCACAUCGCCAUCCUUGGAGAAAAGGUUGCUGAUGGAGCACCUCGACUCGUGCGCGGCCGCCAUUGUCUCCAACAGUUACGAGCUCUUUGUGGACAGCGCUCGUGCGCUUGAGGUGUCCUUCUCACUUGCAGUGGUGUUGCUUUCUCAUGUGAUGGGUGAGGCGGUGCCGAAGGGAGAAGUUGCCUCAGUGGUGCAGGCAGCUGCUGUCGCUGCUGCUGGCGACAGCAGCCAAUCAGCCAUAUCGACGAAAGCCGGCGCGGUGACAACCACCAUGGUCGUGCUGAAACGACUCCCAGCAAAGGUUGCUGCUGCCGCGCUCUCUGAAAAGUCGAAAGGGAGGGUGACCACGAAGACAGCGGCGGCGCCCCCACCACCUCGACCCCUAUCUAUGGACCUCGCCAAGGUGUUUGGCUUCGGCCGCAGUCGUUUAUGGUGGCAGCAUCUCUCUGCCUAUGUCCGUGAAACCUUGAUCAGCGUCGCCCUGCGCGCGCUCCAGAGAAAGGAUGUUGCCAUGACGCAGGAGCUGUUGCAGUGCAUCACCCUUGACAUGACGAUUGCGCAUCACUAUGAUCAAGUGCGCCGACACCAUCCUGUGCCCAAGCCAGCGCGGGUCAAAGGUGUGGGGGAUACAAAGAAAGUUUCCGGAUCGACUCUGAAGAAGAGCCGCAGCGCUUUCAAGGCUGGGGGGCGUAAAGUCACUCAUCUGUCAGCGCCUCCGCAUGAGAGCUCGGCCAGCUUCGUGAACGUGUGGCUCAGCAGCUUUGCCCAUCUUGCGGACACCACCACGCACCUGCUUCACGGCGAUCACAACGCCCCGAGCUCCCUGAAGGGGGCGGUGUGGCAUCUGGCGGGACUGGCGCACUACUUUCUGCUGACGCGUGCCCGCGGCUAUGAUAUGUACGGCGGCCAAAGCCAUCUUUGCUCAACGACGCUGUUUGGCCACGGCAGCGGUAAUUCUGCAGGCGUCGGCGUGAGGACUUCGUCGGUUACCUCGAGCGCCGCUCUGCAGAGCUUCAUCACCUCACAGCUGGUCGAGCCUGCGGGGAAGGUGCUCGGCGUCGUCGUAUCAUUCAUGGAGAGCGUCUGCCAAGCGUUGUCGGCUGACAUUGAGAGCGGCGGCGCGGCAGAGCGGCACUUCCGCGAGGGUGUGAUGUUUGUCGAUAACUCGAGUGACGACGAAAGCCUCUUCAUGUGCCCCGCUGCGGACGACUCUGUCCGCCUGGGAAGUGCGGCCGAGUCUACGAGCCUCUACAGCGACGGCGGAGGCGGUGAUUACGACAUGGCCUCCAACCGCUUGGAGACUUCUGGUUUGCAGACGUGCUGGAUGGAGCUGGCCAUUCACUACUUCUUCGAGAUCGUCGACGUCCUCCUUGACGCUGCGCUGCAUCUUCCAGAGAAGCCGCUCUACCUGUACCAGCUGACAGUGAGCGCCUUUAACACGGCUGCCCCGUCGAUCGACUUUGCAGACACCUUGUCCGCGGCUGUCUUGGCUGGAGGCGCUGGAUCGCCGCUUCUCUGGGGCCUCGGCGAUCUGUCCAGCUCGGUGGUUGCCACUGCGCCGCAGGUCGUGGCGGACUCGCCGCUGGACCGCGUGCAGGAGUUUCUCAGCACGUACACGUCGAUGGUACUGCAGUCUGCGGUGAACCAUUUCACCGUAGAUAGUAGACAUGCUCACUCUCGAGUCGCCACAGCUCGUGAAACGCCAUUGAACACAUCAGCAGCGGUAGACGGGACGUCGGAGGAUGAUUGGCCGCGCACCUUUUGGGAACGACUGUUGACCUCGGUGGCUGCACCUGCGAACCCCUCCGCGCUUGGCGAAGUGAUACUUACAGCGCGGCAACCGCUACCCUCGGCCUCGACUCCUACCAGCUGGCCAGCAGCCAAUCCUGCGGUGAGCCCAGAGGUGUCCGCCAGUAGCUCGUACACGCGGAGCACCAUGUGGUGGCCAGAUGUUCGAUUUCAUCGCUACUCACACCUUAUCCGCAUUGUCGAGCACGCGCAACUGGUGAGCUUGUACCUGAACUCGUGUGCGGGCAGCAAUCCGGCACAGACGGCGCCGCUUACGUCGUAUCUGGAGGUCUCUCGUGCACCUCGUGACAGCGCGCCCUCGCUGCAGGUGAGCGCCGUUACAUCCCUCCUCAACACAUCCACUGGCCCAUGCGCGCAACUGUUGUCCAUUCCCUACGCUUGUCCACCUUCGGCUGUCGACACCAGCAGCAGCAGCAUUAUUCCUGGAAGUGCCCGCACAACGUCGCAUGAGCGUUGCUGGUUCCACUGCACCGGCUCGCCAGCUGACCAGUCACCACCCCGCUUUCCUGCCGGCGCUCAUCGGCGCGUGCCGGCGGACCGCGCGAUGCGCGAAGUGUGCGGUGGGUUGUGGAUCCGGGUAGAGCUGCUGCGCCUUCUGCGCCUCGCAGCCGCACCGCUGGACGCGGAGACAUUCGUGAGCUUCACCAAAACAGCGAGCAAAGUCGCGACCCAGACGCGGGAUAGGGCAAUGCAGACCCACUACACGGCUAUUGCCUCAAUGAAGGCUGGCGCCGAGUCGGUGCUGCCCAAAACGUACGCGUCCACAUACGUGCGGCUGCUGUUCCUGCGGUACGUGCAGGCUUUCUACGCGGAUGUGCACGCGCUGAGUGCAAGCGGACCUGCGACGGGGCCAGAUCACACUACGAGCGAGCGCGUGGACGGCACGAGUAACGCGACGCCGCUCACCAGAAGCGUCGACCAGCGCGCGGCCUUGGCGACCCACGCGGACCUCAGCAGCCACGGCGAUGCCACGCCGUAUCGCACACUUGGGCCACCGCAAAUGCGCUCUCAGGUGAGCACGCUUCAGCACCUGAGCCAGCGUCUGUGGACGCACUACUGCCAUGAGCUGUUGUGGGCGUUACGCGAGCUGUGCUGGAGCUGCGCUGAGGCUCACGAGACGGCAGCCAACCUGUCUGUCGCCUCCGUGUUUGGGCGGCUGCUACAGAUGAUCAGUGGGCGAGGGGAACUCGAGGGAGAUGAUGUCAUCGACGACUACGACGACGAGCCGGCGGAAAAGUUUCCGGAUGAACCACAUCUGGACUUGAAGGACGUGGGGAUGUCUUUCAUAACAUCGGAACGCGCGCUAGAGCCGUACUCCACCGCGGAGGGCGUCAGGAUGGAGGGCUUCGUCGACUUUGAGGUGUCUUCGUCCGACAGUUCCGUGACGGUAGUACCAGGGAUGAGCGAGGGCCGCAAACGGCCACCUGGGCAGCCGCCGAACUCGGGGUCCUCCGACGACUUUGAGCGUCGACUAGAGCCGUCCCGGAGCGCUCGGCGGUCUCCUGUCUCGAAGGCAUCCGUGGAGGUAGAGCAGCAGGUGAUGGUAGGCAUAUCGGACCAGACCUCGGUCUUCGACUUCAAGGAGCGGAGGCGGCUAGGGUCGAACGACCACUUCAUCUCUGGAGGCACCCAGGCAACAGUGAGGAGCACGACGCCGCUUGCCGCCUCAAACACUCCUGUGCCGACCCCGCCUCGAACCCCCGUCACAGCUCCUCCUGUGGUGCAGAAGCUGUCUUUCACUGGGCUGAAGCCGCCUCUGUAUUUCACCAGCUCAGGUGACACGGCUGCUGCGCAGGAGAACGACUUCUACAAGGAGCAGUCUAAGCAGCCGCAAAUGGCGAAGGAACCGAUGGUACACUUCCUCAGCACCACAGGUAUGUCAGUGGUGGACGCAGCCUCGCACCAAUCGCAAGACGACGAUAAUGGCGAGUGCGACGUGAAGUACGAAGCCAGAUCUGAUGCGCUAGAGAGCGCGUCCAAGCACACGCUGCCUAAGUCGACUUCACACGAACCUCGUGAGAGUUACUCCACAGCGAACUCGAACGCCGAUUCUGCAACCCGCCGCGACGCGCCGAAGCCGCCCGCGUUGACAAUACCGAAGCUGUCUCUCGGGGCUCUCAGCCCGCCGCUGUACUUCACUUCUACCGGUGACACCGCCGUUUUUGCGGAGAGGCCGAUAAGCCCGUCUCUUGCGCGUCCGCCAGCCCAGGCGUUUCCGACGCUGAACUCGCUGACAGCGGCGGCACCGGCGGUGGUGGGUGCGGCGCAUGUCGAUCCAGCUGUUAGGGGCGCGCCACUGAAAGGCGCGGCUGAGGCGGCGAACGCGUCGACACUCACUCCACCACCUGUACCUGUGCUGCACACGUCCACUCCAACCACUGUCGAUGGGUUUGCCCUUCCUAAGCUGUCGUUUGGCUCUCUAGGCCCGCCUAUGUACUUCACCUCCACCGGCGACACUGGCGGCUUCAUCGAGGCGGAGAAUCAGAAGCCUCACGCUGUGGCUGGCGCGACCACAAGUGCACAGAUCCCUUCCGACACGAUACACCUGCAAUUUGGGUUGACGGCGCAGGGCAUGGCAUCUCGUGGAACGGCCAACACCGCCACCGCUACUGCAGCAGCCAUCACCGCUUCGAAUUGCCCGACUGCUGCGACGGCCGCCGCUCACUUCCACGGCAGCCACUCCUCGGAUGAAUCACACUUACGCCCUGUCUUCAGUUUUGCCGACUUUGCGCCAACGGGUGGAAAGGUGAGCCGCAGCGGAAAUGCUAGCGAUGAGGUGGGCAGCUAUGCCGGCUGCGUGGACGAACAGGACUCAAAGGAGCGGCGACGUUGCGACAGUGGGUUGUCGUUGAACUCCUUGCCCAUGCCCGAGAGUAGUCCUCUCUCAAUGCUUACCGGUCAGCGACGCCGCAAGCGAGUGCCUCGCACGUCUCGCCCAGUCCUAACACCGAUAGUGGCACCGGCGGUGACGAUGGAACUCAUCUUGUGCAUCUGCUCUAUCAUUCUCCAGCAGGACAGCGGUAUGAUUCAGUACGCCUACACCGUGUCCUCGCUCACGCAGAAGCGUGUGCUGCCGGACAUGUCGUCGUCCUCUCAGCGGCGCUGGCACGCUGGCAGCGGCACCGCCGCUGCAGCCUCAGGCUCGACUUUCACGCAGAAGUCAGAUGCGGCGCAGACGGAUCGGUGGCGGUACACUCCUCAACACAGCCCUUCUUCUUUUCAUGUUAUACAGGCAAUGCACAACUACCUCAAGGACAGCCGCAACAGCCUCGUUAUUGAUCUGCUGGAGGAAUGGGUGCUUGACGAGUACGCUGAGAUGGAGCGGGCAAGAAUGGAGCAGUUCGAGUCCGCGUAUGCGCCGUCGAUGCAGCAAGAGUGCUCUCCGCAACCGCCUCACCCCUCGUACUCUCACAGCGAAAGCGGCGGCAACAUCGGCAACAGCGUUCACCAUCACUCUCUUCAUCAGCCUCAGGCAGGCGGCACCGGCGGCGGCCGUAGCGGUAAACCGAGUGCCGCAAUGCUCGCCGGUCGUUAUGUGCUCCUACGCUUGCUCCUUCCGCGCGCCAUCACACCUUUGAUCACUCAGCAAAAUGAGCGGCGCAUUGGUGCCGGCGGCUACGGCUCCGUCACGUCCGGCUUCGUGCAGAGGCCCGGCACCGGCGGCGACACGCAACUGCCUCCUGGAUGGGGCCAGCGCGGGUUUCGCUGGCGGCCAGCAAAGACACGCGGAAGCACAGCAGCUAGCGGUUCUGGCGCUGGUGUUGGUGGCACCACGCCUCAAAGUCUCCACAUGGGUCGGUCGGUCACGACAACCGCGGAGAGGAUCGCGCCCGGUGUCUUGGAUGGCUUGCGUGCGCCAUGGCGCACAGCGACGCAGCGGAUCGCACAGGCAGUCUGCAAGUGCGAGGUGGCGAUAAAGCACAUCCCCCUCAACGUUCAGGGAAGCGAGAGUGGAAACCUGCCCCUCUGUCACGCGGAGGUGCUCUGUAUGUACCGUCUGCGCGGUCACCCCCACAUCGUCCCGCUCCUUUCCUUCGACAACACCAAGGACGAGUACAUCCUUGUCCUGCCGCACUACACCCAAGGAUCGCUGCGGUUGUGGCGACAGAAGCACUAUCCACUGGGGUGCGCCGUGCUCACGCUUUCACCGGGGAUGAAGGACUCGUGCAAGAGCGGGCCGAUGCCGACAGCGGCGCCCGCGACGACUUCCAGCACACCGACGCCAGCCGCUGCGCCAAGCACCUCGCUCUUCACAACGUGUGCGCGCUGUCUCCUUCAGGUGCUCAAGGGAGUCGCCUUCAUGCACGACCACCGCAUCCGCCACGGCGACAUCAAGUGUGACAACGUCCUCAUCACCGCUACCGCCGCCAGCGCUGCGCGGGGGGAGAUGGAUCCGCCGAUGCUGCCGUCCUCUGUGUGCUUGUGCGACUUCGGCUCCUGCGACACUUGCGACGACGAUGAUAUUCAAAACCUGAAGCACGACAUCAUGGCAGGCGAGGCUCGCUUCUUGGCUGGUCGGUGGGGCGUCGGCAGGGGAACAGAGGCGAUCCAGCCGCCGGAGCUCAUGUCGGCGAAGCGGCGCUACGCCCUGCUCCGUCGCAUAGCGACAGCCGUCGCACCAGCCGCGGCAGCGACCCCAGCCACCUCCUCGCUCCUCACUCUCUCCGAGAGGGUGGAACGUGGCUCCCACGCUGCGAGCUUUGCCGGUCCAUCAGCCGAAUACCUCCCGCUCCGAAGCCGUGGUGGGGAGCUGAUGGAGUCGACGGGGCCCCAAAUGACGGAGCUGCUGCGGCGAGCGGAGCUCUCAGUGGACAUCUGGGCCUGCGGUUGCUUGCUCUACGAGAUGCUCACGGGCCGCAUGCUUUUUGGGGAGGCCCGGCUGGGUCGCCUGCUGGUUCUCGCCGCUGUCGACGAUGGCGAGGACCAGGACCCCGAAACGGCGGCUUCAAAGACAAGUACGGCAGCUGGCCCUCUGCCGGGUGCGCCUCGCUCUCUGCAAAAGGCCACGGUGCCGACCACAUCCAGCGUUGGUGCCGAUACAGGCUUUAGUUUCACACCGUCGGUUUCUAAAAAGGCCCUUGACGACUGGGAGCGGCGCGAUCUCGAAGCGGCUGUGGGGAAGCGUGUGGUGGACUUUAUGUCGACCCUGCUGGACCUCGACCCUCUGCAGCGGCCAAGCGCACACGAGGCGCUACAACACUGGAAGACGAUAAUGGUGGAGGCAGGGCUAGAAAUUUGAGCAGAGGUUCGAAGAAGCGGUGUGUGUGGGGGGAGGGAGACGGUAAUGUCAGUGCAGCAUGGAUUCGCAAACGCGGCAGUGACACCGAUGCAUGAAUGCAUUUUAUGCUGUUGCUUCUCACUUCUUUUUUUUUUUUCGCGUACGCGCUAAUCCCUGUGCACAUGCGCACCUCUGCGAGCUGACGAGGAACAUUCCGCAGUGUGCGCCCCUUUUCCUUCCCCGACGUCAAACUCUUAUUCUCUUUCGACAGCACACACAUACUAGAAGAAACAUACGCUGCUGUUUGAGUGGACGACGACUCCUGUCCGAUCUCACGCUCGGUCUCACGCUCGGUCUUGGGAUGCCUCACCUCCGGUAGGCGUGCACUGAUAUGUGUGCCUGCGCGCCAAGGUAACCCGCCCUUUUCACUCGUUUAAGCUUUCCCUUUCUUUCCCUGAUCAUCUGCCCUUUCUUGCCCAUCUGUGCCUCUCCCGCUCCUUUUUUCAUGGCGCACGUGCACGGCGCGUCGAGCAUUUCGCCGUCACUUCCCCCAAAACAAAAAAG